ACAGAGACCAGAUCUGCAUCAUGGUUCAGUUUUCCUCUGCCACCAGACAUGUCCUGGCAAUUCCUCUUUUUGCUACUUUUUGGAGUUGUUCUCUGGAAAAUUUCCUGAUAUUGCCAGGAAGCUGCCACUUUGAAGGAUUUCAUCUCUGAAAGAGAGAGAAAGACUAGGAGGUGAGACCUUGGGAGGCCAAGUGCUGCCCGUGGCUGAGCUGGAGAGUACCUGUGUUGAGCGUGUCAUUCAUCUUAAAGUGAUUGACCAUUUAUGGGGAUGGUGAGAAGGAGAAGAGCAUAAAGUAGAUCAAUGGAAAGAAGGCAGAAAAUGGAGAAACAGGAAGAAGGAGACUGAGUUGGGGGAGUACUGGGAGAGCAAUGGAUUUGAGGAAAAGAUGAAGAUGAUAAGAUUAUGUGUGAUGGUAAAACAAAGUAAAUACCCAGUGUGGAGAGAAGAGUUUCUCAGCUGGCCAGUGAACCCAAGACUUAUGAAGUUACUGUGAUCAAAAAUAAAGUCAUUUGAACUCUGAUAGAGAAAAGAUACAUUUAAACAGGUAACAAGCAUCCCAAACUCAGCCUCGGUCUCCAUGGUGACCAGGAGUCCCCUAUAAUAUCUGCCUGGUGAGGGCCACACAGCAUCAGCGGCUACAGACGUGUGCAGUAUGCUGAAUUAAUGUUGUGGGGAAGCAUGAGGAAAGAAACCAGGCCACAGAGAGCCUGGAGAAGCAGAUAUCAAUGUCUCCUGCUGCCGGACAUGGCUGUGUGGCCCAGUUUUGGACAAUGAGAGGUAAAGAGAGGUCUUUCAAAGGUUUCUGGGAAGGAGAGUCCUCUUCUAGAUAAGGAAUAAGAGUGGAAAUUGUUCUAUACUGCUUCCAGUUUCCUGUCUUUGAGGAUAUGUAACUUAGAGUUCAUGUGAAAUAGCAUCCCUUGCUGCCAUCAGGAAAUACUGAGAACCUCAGCAUCACCAACCCAAGACCUGACACUGCUAAACUUCUGAAUCAAGGCCAAAAACUGCCUCCCUUUUCCAUAAGAAAAUUGAGUCUUUCAUUAAGCCAGUAUUUGGUUAUUUGAUAUAUGCAGUCAAAAGAAUUCCUGACAGAUACAGUAUAAUACUAGGCAUGUUUCCACUCCUGGCUUUAUUUUAAUCUUUAAGGUUUGAGAAAAAAUGCCCGUCACUCCAUUUUCUGGCUCAGGGUAUGGGCUAAGAUGGUAACAUGGCGAAAUUUAUUGUAUUUGUUUUCUCAAUUUCCAUUGCUUCUUCUUGGUGAUAUUAUCCUGAUUUCUCCUCAGGAGGCUGGCCCUCUCUCUUUCUCAGACCUUAGGGCUUAAUGGCAUUGAUCCUACCCUGACAACCCUAAGGUCUGAGACAGAGAGCAUGGCAAAUCAGAGUAUUGUACUCCAGUGACAUUGUGACUGUUUCAGAGGUAGGACCAAGAAACAGAGAGUGAGAUUAGAUCUUGAUGGCAGAAGUCAAGCCCCUUUAUUGAGAUAAACCUGAGGCCUUGUCUAAAUCCAGAAAUUAGUAGGUGAGAAAAAUCUAUUCUCUUUGUCAUGUGUAGUUUGAGUUAAAUUCUUGCAAUUCCAGCAACCAAAAGAGGACUGACUUCUAAAAUCCUGCCACUAGAACCACUGCAUUUUCAUCAUCAGUGGCAUCUGUGUUGGAAUGUUCUAACAGAAGCUUGGCACAGAUCAAAAAUGCUAUAAAGGGAAUUCCAGCUCUAAGUAGGAAACUAAAGUAAAUUACUACUAAGGUCUCUUUCAAUUCUCAAAUUAUAUGAUACUAUAAACACCCCAUGUCUAUGUGGGAGACUAUGGCAAUGGGAAGUUUGCAGUGCCUUAAGAAAUGGUGAGCAGUCUGCAUUUGCGUAGUAUAUUCCUGAUGAAUGUACUAUGCUAGAUGAAUUGAAGGGAUUGUGGGGAUUUUAGUAUUAUGGAAAUAACAUCAGACUGUUAGUCUGGAAGCAUAGAUUCUGAUUCCAUUUCAGAACAGGGUCCCACUUUAAACCUUGGCUAGCUAGAUUGAUUUAAGCAAGUCCUUAAUCCACUGGUAACUAAAAAAAAAUUGUUUCUUAAGUGGGAAUGCAAUUUCAUGGUUGAAAAGAAACUUUGGGAGGAGAAAAAUGUAGUGGCAGGGAAAUGUUUAUGGAGGAUCUACUGGGGAUCAAGCAUUGUGAUAGAGCUUUAUCUUUAAUUAUUUUGUUUAAUAAACAAAGUGCAGAACAUGUUAUAAACCCAAUUUUUCAGAUGAAGUAAUAGAAACUUAGGUAAGUUAAUUAAAUUUACCAGGAUUAUACAGCCUAUGGAUGGAUGAGCUAGGCUUUAAAAGUUGUUUCUAAGGUCAAAGACUGAGUUCAUAGUUACCAUACCAGUCUAGUUCAAACUCCUUAUUUUAUAGAGAAGCUUCAGCCUGAACAAUGGAUGGGUGACAAAUCUGGUACUAGCCUAUUUCCAGGUUUCCUUACACUCUGCUAAUUAUAUCUGCCAUGCCUGUCCCAUUGAAAUGAUUGUUUGAAAUCAGACAAUGGCCAGGAAAGUGAUUUGAAGGGUGUUAUGUGCUAUACAAUAUCAUUUAGAACCCUGAACUUGAAAGCUCUCAGGUCUCUUUCUAUCUUUUUUGCUUUGUCAUUAGUCUUUGCUUCUCUCUGUGGGCUUUUUUCUUUCUUUUAGGCUGGUUAUCUCAGUGAGACUGGCACCAUAGCAAUCAUUAAAUCCUGGGCUCAUAUCUUCUCAACUUUCCACCCAGAAGAAUUGGCUUAAACGAAUGUAGAGGCUUAUUUGUCUCACAUGACAGGAAACACAGCUAUAGGCAACAGCUAGAGUUGACUUAAUAGCUCUAGGAUGCCAAGGAAAGCAUUUCAGUUAUUCAUUCUUAAAUUUGUUUAAGCUAAUAAUAGUUUUUCUGUGACCUGGAGUUGCACCUGAGUUAAACUGAGCAACUGCUGGAACAUGGUAAUUGGCCCAGGUGUAGGCACUUGACCCAAGUCAGAUUAGACCCAGUUCUCAAGGAACUUCUGAAAGUGAGCUGUAAAGAAAAAAAAAAAAAA
rnacentral:lncRNA from 1 species